rnacentral:rRNA from 1 species
UUGUAAUCUAUAGAGGCGUUUUCCGCGCCGGACCGCGUCCAAGUCUCUUGGAAUAGAGUAUCAAAGAGGGUGACAAUCCCGUACUUGACGCGACAACCGGUGCUCUGUGAUACGUUCUCAAUGAGUCGAGUUGUUUGGGAAUGCAGCUCUAAAUGGGUGGUAAAUUCCAUCUAAGGCUAAAUAUUGGCGAGAGACCGAUAGCGAACAAGUACCGUGAGGGAAAGAUGAAAAGCACUUUGGAAAGAGAGUUAAACAGCACGUGAAAUUGUUAAAAGGGAAACGAUUGAAGUCAGUCGUGUGAAAGGUAUUCAGCCGUCUCUGGCGGUGUAUUUGCCUUUCACGGGUCAACAUCAGUUUGAUCCGGUAGAAAAAGGCGGGAGGAAGGUGGCACCCUCGGGUGUGUUAUAGCCUCCUGUCAUAUGUGCC